rnacentral:lncRNA from 1 species
CGUAGGCAGCCUCACGGUUUGGUCCAACCAAAUAAGAAUUCAAGAAAAAAUCCCCAAUAGCUAAAACUGGGGCAGUGAUUUUAUUUCACUUUUGAAAGAGUGGAUUCCAGAGUUGUAUGUCUACAACCCCUAAUUUUAAGUCUACUUUGAGCCUUCAUGUCGACCCUUCUUUCCAACCAUAUCCAAGAUCCCACCAAAUAAAGACCUCCCGAUACGCUUU